CAGUCGAGGGGUAUAGGUUUUCGGACCUAGAGACCGGCGCACGGGUGCGUAACGCGUAUGCAAUCUACCUUUUACAGAGGGAUAGCCCAGAGAAAUUUGGAUUAAUACCUCAUAGUAUUACGACUCGGCAUCGAGAUGUAAUUAAAGUCACAACGGUAAAAGAUGAGCAUGCGUCCCAUUAGCUAGAUGGUAAGGUAACGGCUUACCAUGGCAACGAUGGGUAGGGGUCCUGAGAGGGAGAUCCCCCACACUGGUACUGAGACACGGACCAGACUCCUACGGGAGGCAGCAGUGAGGAAUAUUGGUCAAUGGGCGCAAGCCUGAACCAGCCAUGCCGCGUGCAGGAUGAAGCAUCUAUGGUGUGUAAACUGCUUUUGUACGAGAAGAAACACUCCUACGUGUAGGAGCUUGACGGUAUCGUAAGAAUAAGGACCGGCUAACUCCGUGCCAGCAGCCGCGGUAAUACGGAGGGUCCAAGCGUUAUCCGGAAUCAUUGGGUUUAAAGGGUCCGUAGGCGGUUUUGUAAGUCAGUGGUGAAAGCCCAUCGCUCAACGGUGGAACGGCCAUUGAUACUGCAAGACUUGAAUUAUUGGGAAGUAACUAGAAUAUGUAGUGUAGCGGUGAAAUGCUUAGAGAUUACAUGGAAUACCAAUUGCGAAGGCAGGUUACUACCAAUAUAUUGACGCUGAUGGACGAAAGCGUGGGGAGCGAACAGGAUUAGAUACCCUGGUAGUCCACGCCGUAAACGAUGGAUACUAGCUGUUCGGAGCAAUCUGAGUGGCUAAGCGAAAGUGAUAAGUAUUCCACCUGGGGAGUACGUUCGCAAGAAUGAAACUCAAAGGAAUUGA
rnacentral:rRNA from 1 species